rnacentral:rRNA from 1 species
UGCCAGCCGCCGCGGUAACACGGAGGGUCCAAGCGUUAUCCGGAUUUAUUGGGUUUAAAGGGUGCGCAGGCGGAACUUUAAGUCAGUGGUGAAAUCUUGCCGCUUAACGGUAAAAUUGCCAUUGAAACUGAAGUUCUUGAAUGUAGUUGAGGUAGGCGGAAUGUGUUGUGUAGCGGUGAAAUGCAUAGAUAUGACACAGAACGCCAAUUGCGAAGGCAGAUCACUAACAUUAUAUUGACGCUGAGGGACGAAAGCGUGGGGAGCGAACAGGAUUAGAUA